CUUCCGAUUUCUUUCUCCCUCACUUUCGUUUUCAGUUUUCUUUUUCUGGUUCCCCCUCCCUAUCUCUCUCUCACGUUACACAUUUUCUUCCCGUUUCCAUCUCUGAUUUUUUCGUUGGGUCAGUGCUUGAAUCUGAAGUUUGGGUGUUUUCCCUCACGCGUUCCUCUUGUUCCAGUAGUUGCAGAACUACAUUUUGGGGUAAAAGCAAAGAUUUCAAUCUUAGUUGCCAAGAGCUCUUCUUGCGGUCCGUGGAUUGGUGGUUGGCUUUUGGUUCGUCCCUUGCGCUUUGUGUUUAUUGUUGUGUAGUGGGUAUGAAGUUAACUCUGUUUCUCUUAAGCGUUGAGCCCGUGACAAGACGGAUAGAAACCGUAUUCAAGGUAUAGAUAAUACGCUACAGGAGUCAGAUGAUAUUGAUGACCCAACUGGGGGUCAGGAAUAGAAAUGGGAGCUUAGCUAGAUAUGGAUAGACGGUCGUGUACCUAAGGGUACCAUUGUGAGAAGAAGAGUUUGAAGUUCUUCUUGAUGUUUAGAUUUAUUGAGACUUAAAAUGUAUCAGUUUAUUAUGUUGAGAUUUAAUUAUACUUUGGUUUAGUAGAAUCUAUGGUUUUAUCAGUUUGGUAUGUUAUCAUCACCGGAAGAUUGUGGACCCCUUCAUUUAUUAUUAAUGCAUUAUAGACUAUGUGGAGUUUGAAAUGGGUUAUUUAGAAGAUAUGAGAUUAA